AAUUAGACAUGGCGACACCGGAACGUAGCGGAGAGAGCAUGAAAUUCACAUUCAAAUGGAGCAAGGAGCAAACAGAGACAUUUAUAAAGCUUCGCAAGAAGCACGACGUUUUGUUCACUGGGGCCAAGAACUCAGCCGCUGUUGGAUGGAGAACAAUCUUGGAAGAGAUGGGCCUGCAUCAGCAGGUCACUCCCAUGCAGGCAAAAAAAAA